rnacentral:rRNA from 1 species
GCGCACCAGGCGCGAAAACUUCACACUGUGCGAAAGCACGAUGAGGGAAUCCCAAGUGCUUGCACGUAAGUGUAAGCUGUUUCUCUGUCUAAAACGCAGAGAGAGUAAGGGCUGGGUAAGACGGGUGCCAGCCGCCGCGGUAAUACCUGCAGCUCAAGUGGUGACCGUUAUUAUUGGGCCUAAAACGUCCGUAGCCGGUUUAAUAAAUGCCUGGGUAAAUUGUGUAGCUUAACUAUACGAAUUCCGGGUAGACUGUUAAACUUGAGACCGGGAGAAGUUAGAGGUACUCCUGGGGUAGAGGUGAAAUUCUGUAAUCCUAGGGGGACCACCAGUGGCGAAGGCGUCUAACUAGAACGGGUCUGACGGUGAGGGACGAAGCCCUGGGGCGCAAACGGGAUUAGAUACCCCGGUAGU